AGACUGCUGAGCUAUCUCCCCAGCCCACAACUGAUGAAUUUAAACAUUUGCAAAAUCAGCCGUUUUACAGGAUGGUUGGUAAAUGAAUUAUUGGAGAAGUCUUGGGGAAUAUCAGGGUCCAGUCAUGGUUACCAAGAUGUUUACUGAAGGUUUUUGAUGUGCUCAGCACCAAACGGAUGCUCCAAAGAGGGAGAAUAAAUGCAACACAUGACUACUGACAAAACUUUACUGCAUUGUUACGGCCACUCUAGAGGGGAAAAAAAGCUUCUUGUGUAGGUGGGGGAACAAGCUCAUAACAAAACAAGCUGUCUGAUGUGGGCCUCAAGGGAUAAUUGAGUUCUCCAUGAUACCCAGGCUUUGACCCUACUAACCAGUGUCUUACACUGAAGGAGACCACGGGCAACGAGGCACUGCACGUUGGAUCCAGAAUUGCUAAA